AUUGAACGCUGGCGGAAUGCUUUACACAUGCAAGUCGAACGGCAGCAUAGGUGCUUGCACCUGAUGGCGAGUGGCGAACGGGUGAGUAAUACAUCGGAACGUGCCCAGUCGUGGGGGAUAACGUAGCGAAAGUUACGCUAAUACCGCAUACGAUCUACGGAUGAAAGCGGGGGACCGUAAGGCCUCGCGCGAUUGGAGCGGCCGAUGUCAGAUUAGGUAGUUGAUGGGGUAAAGGCCCACCAAGCCAACGAUCUGUAGCUGGUCUGAGAGGACGACCAGCCACACUGGGACUGAGACACGGCCCAGACUCCUACGGGAGGCAGCAGUGGGGAAUUUUGGACAAUGGGCGAAAGCCUGAUCCAGCCAUUCCGCGUGCAGGAUGAAGGCCCUCGGGUUGUAAACUGCUUUUGUACAGAACGAAAAGGUUUCUACUAAUACUAGGAGCUCAUGACGGUACUGUAAGAAUAAGCACCGGCUAACUACGUGCCAGCAGCCGCAGUAA
rnacentral:rRNA from 1 species